AAAAGGGCCCCGACCCAUUGUAAGCAAUGGUACAGAACUUCAUAUUAAUAGAGCUUGAGGUCAAAACCAGAGUAGCAACCAGUUGAAUUUCAACGGUACAUGGCAAUGACUGGCAACAAAGAGCAACAACAGUUUGAUGGUUUCAGCGCUGACUAAGAGUUUUCAAGGGCUCACACAACCACCAUCGGUCGACACCGAGACUGAAAUGUGUAAGUACACCAUAACCACACACCGAAAAACUCCGCCCUCAUCAUAGAGGCCCUAUUUGGUUCGGCUGUAGAUUUUUAAAAGCAGUUGUGAAAAAUUUGCUGUGGAAAAAUAGCUGUGAAAAAUCUGAUGUGAAAAAGAAGUAGGUUAUUUGACAAACCAGCUGAUACAAUCUUUUUAGAUUUUGGCCGCAACGGAAUCAGAUUUUGGAAAGCACGUCCUGGGCUGCUUCCGUUUUUGCUGGGUUCGUCCUUUGGUUCAAAUUCUGCUACGCGGCAGCGGAAUCCGUCGAUAAAAG
rnacentral:lncRNA from 1 species